rnacentral:rRNA from 1 species
UACGAAGGGAGCUAGCGUUGUUCGGAAUCACUGGGCGUAAAGCGCACGUAGGCGGCCUGUUAAGUCGGAUGUGAAAGCCCCGGGCUCAACUCGGGAAGUGCAUUCGAAACUGGCAGGCUUGAAUAUGGAAGAGGGUCGCGGAAUUCCCGGUGUAGAGGUGAAAUUCGUAGAUAUCGGGAGGAACACCAGUGGCGAAGGCGGCGACCUGGGCCAAUAUUGACGCUGAGGUGCGAAAGCGUGGGGAGCAAACAGG